GUAUUUUCUUGCCUGUGUUUUCUUUCUUUUUUUUUCUUUCUUUUUUUUUUUAAGAUUUAUUUAUUGAUUAUAUAUAAGUACACUGUAGCUGUCUUCAGAUACUCCAGAAGAGGGAGUCAGAUCUCAUUACGGAUGGUUGUGAGCCACCAUGUGGUUGCUGGGAUUUGAACUCUGGACCUUUGGAAGAGCAGUCGGGUGCUCUUACCCACUGAGCCAUCUCUCCAGCCCCUUGCCUGUGUUUUCAAUGCACUUUCUAGGAGCCCCAAGACUUCCCCUGGUGGUACAGGAACCCUUAAUCUCACAGUCGAAGAGCUAAGCCGAAGGCUGCAUAGGGUGCCAGAGUCACUGUGAGGACCAGAGCUCAGUAUUGUCACUGUUCUUCCUAGCCAGGGAAAGGUCUUCUCCCUUAAACAGUCCCAUUCCUGGUAGACAAUGUAGCCAUAUUCUCUGGGUGGCCCAGGGCAAUUCUGGGAAGAGAGAUGAAGGUGCCCUGGGAGACAGCUGCCAAGAAUGGGUGGGACAGUUUCCAUGAGGAAGCUCACCAAGAAACCCCAGACGGAAACCAAAUGUGUUUUCUAGGUCCUGAGAGGAUAUUUGGAACAAUGGUGAUAGAUGGGGGAGGCUGUGUUGGAAAAGGGUUUCUUGACAUCCUUAAACAAAGCUGAGUCUGUAGGUUUGACUUUUGUUUCUCUGAAGGAUGUUUAUGUAAUUUCCCGAAGGCAAGAUCCAGAGCUCUGUGACGUUGUCAGGCCUGUUGUUUAUACAUCCAGCUUUGGAGCUGGGCAAGACUUCCAUUAGGGGAUCUCCCCAUCUCACUCGGAGACUGUGGGAUGGCGCUGUCAGAACUUGGGGUGGAAUGGGGUCCUCUUGGUCUUGCCACCCUCAGAUCUCUGAUUUGUUGGCGGUAGCAAGGGGCAUGGAUAGGUGGAGGGGGAGCGCUUUGGAAAGUCAUUGCUACUAAGGGCUGGGGAAGGUUAAGUUGGUCUUCAACAAGGUGGUGGGCAAAAGGCUGGAUAGAGUGUUGCAAGAGAGCACCCUGUCCAGAUUCUGGGCCUAGCUGUGUACCGCCUACCCAGCAGCUAGGGACUAUGAGUCACACUCAGUGGGGGGCACAGAGUCACUGGCCAUUGUGUGUCCUGAUUCAUUCUGUUCUCCCAGUUUUACAGAGAUGACUAGGCCCUGGCCUGGAUUGUGCACAUAACUGUGGGUGAAGGGCUCCGUAGCUACAAAUAUGAGAGUCCUAGAGGGCCUGCCUGUGAGCCUCCCUCCCUCUGCUCCUUGUCUAUAGAGCACUCCGUGGUCAUGAUCCACAUGUUCUCCCGGGUACAGGGGAUUAUGAGUCCCUGACAUUCAAUGUGGCAUUUCGAAGGCACUUCUAUAUACUGCUUCCCUCCCCCUCUUAAAUUAAAAAGUUUAAAUCUAUCUUAUAUGUAUUGGUGCUUUGCUUGCGUGUAUGUCUGUGCACCAUAUGCAUGCCUGGUAUUUGUGGAAUGCAGAAGAGGAUGUCAGAUCCACUGGAACUGAAGCUAGGGAUAGUUGUGAGCCACUGUGUGGGUGCCAAGAACUGAAUCUGGGUCCUCUACAGGAGCAAAUACGUUUAAUCUCUAAGCCACCUCUCUAGGCUUUCAUUUCUAAGAUACCCCUGUUGUGUUUCUUU
rnacentral:lncRNA from 1 species